rnacentral:rRNA from 1 species
AUUGAACGCUGGCGGCAGGCCUAACACAUGCAAGUCGAGCGGGGUUUUCGGACCUAGCGGCGGACGGGUGAGUAAUGCGUAGGAAGCUACCCGAUAGAGGGGGAUACCAGUUGGAAACGACUGUUAAUACCGCAUAAUGUCUACGGACCAAAGUGCGGGACCUUCGGGCCACAUGCUAUCGGAUGCGCCUACGUGGGAUUAGCUAGUUGGUGGGGUAAUGGCUCACCAAGGCGACGAUCCCUAGCUGGUUUGAGAGGAUGAUCAGCCACACUGGAACUGAGACACGGUCCAGACUCCUACGGGAGGCAGCAGUGGGGAAUAUUGGACAAUGGGCGCAAGCCUGAUCCAGCCAUGCCGCGUGUGUGAAGAAGGCCUUCGGGUUGUAAAGCACUUUCAGUAGGGAGGAAGGGUGUUGUGUUAAUAGCACAGCAUUUUGACGUUACCUACAGAAGAAGCACCGGCUAACUCUGUGCCAGCCGCCGCCGUAA